GCUGCGAGGGGGGACGGCGUGAGGGGACGGCGAGGCCUCGAGUCCCUCGUGCUGAGGUGGAGGAGCGAGGAGGGGGGGCUGCACGAAGGAUUACAGCUGGAGGAAUUCUAAACAAUCCGAGUCUCCUUGUCGUGGUGUUUAAGUGCAUUGUGCUCCUGUCUGAACAGAGGAAAUCGCUGAGGAAAAGCAAGACAAAUGUGGAUCGCUUCAAACAUAUGUUGUUGCAGCUGAUGUCCAAGAAGUGCUGGCAGUGUGUGUCCUUCCACCAGGUUCAGCAUGAAGCCUUGCAUCUUCAUCUGAGCAGCACCUCCAGUUUUGAUGUCCUGCUUCUGUAUCCAACACCUGCGUGCUGUUUAGGUGGCUGUCAGUAAUUGCCCUGCUGUGACACACUAAUGCUAGCAUGCACUUCCAGAAUACCAGUUCAUUCUUCACCUUGAGAAAUAGCUGACGGAAGGAAACAGCACAGGAAGAGGCUGUCUUGGUUCUGGUCUUUGGUGGAUGGAUACGGAGAGCCCUGUGGCACAGAGGGAUGAAAGGAUUCCCUGCCACCAGGAUCAGCCAGGUCCUGCAGCUGUCUGCCUGGCUGCUGUGUGAUUCCAGCAUGCAAUAAGCUAUGUCUUCUGCCCGUUGUCUAGAACCAAGAUGUGCAAUACAUGCAAAGCACAGCUAGUCCUGGAAAUGAGUCUCUGCAGCUCCUUGCAUGGAGGCCAAGGUCUGAAUGAUAUUUUGGGACUGAGCUUGCUUUCACUGGGUGAUCUGAUGGGUGUGAAGGGCAAGAGAUGGAGCGCCCACAGCAAUGCUGCCUGUGCUGCAGCCCGCAGGGUGUGAUGGUUUAACUGUUCGGGUUUUUUUGGUCAGUAUUUGAAGUUGAGUAAUUUUUUUACUAUCUUGGAAGACUUUUCUUUCCAGUAUGAAAGCUUGCCGAGGGUUCCAGUGACAUCCUGCUCUUACCUCCAGCUCAGCCCUCACCACUGCUCUCCGUUUUCGACAUGAAAUGGGCAGACACCAUUUGUGACUGUGCCAAUAUCCUGAGUCACACAUUACCAGCUGGCUUUUGUGCUGCAGUUUCCUCUUCUCCCUUUACGACUGCACUCCCUAGAGGAGACCUGAACAAUUGCACUCGCCAGCAGAAGCUCACUGCGUGCCAUGGCUGAACGGCACCGUUGCUGGACGACCUCUGGCUGCGAGAGGCCUGUGGUUUGUUGCUGUGUGUCUGCUGCUUCCAUACCAGAGAACAGAACAGGUGAAGGGAAACUUCAGGUGCAUUUCCCAUACUGCAGUAUGGAGAUGGCAAUAUGAAGUCUUCCUUAAAUAAUUACUGGGAAGGAGUGAUGACACUAGUGGUAAAGUAGAAGAUAGAUAAAUUGUGUUCGAAGGAGUGAACUAUAGGCAGAACUCUUCACUGAGCUUUUUGACCUACCAUGUCUUGACAUGCAUUGCUGGACUCAUCUGAGUCUGCAGCAGUCCUGACCAAAUAACAAUGUAUUAAAUGCCAUUAUUCUGUCUAUGUAUUCACAAAAAACCAAGUUGAUUUCUUACUAAACUCCUCCUAGUGCACAUUGCACAAAGUUUUAUGAGUUAACGGUCAGCUGGUUUCAGAAGGUUAUAACACACACAAACCAUUAAUGUUUGUCCAAGACCAGAUGAGUUAAAGCAGCUCAUCCUGCAAGGCAUGGAAAUCAAUCUGGUCUUUGUUUGGAAGCGUUUGGGACAGUCCAUGCCCUCAGCGGGUCCUGCGAUGGAGGAGAGAGGUGGGCUGUGCUGACCCAGAAGCCAGGUGCUUGUUGCAUCCACUGGGGGAAGGAGCAGUGCGCCGUAGGAGCAGGGUGUGGGUUUUGGUGGGAGAAGUCCUGCAGAGCCUCUAGAAGAAAGUCAGGGAGGGAAAGAGAAGACACGAGGUGGACUUUGAGCUGAGGACAUCCUGCUUCCUCUUACUGUGUGGGAAGCUUGUGGUGUUAAUGUGUCUGUUUGAAGAGAGUUGGGAAGGCAUGCGCUGUAGCUGGAGACAGCAGCAGUCCUGAGAGGAGUUUUCUGAGGAGGGACGACUGACAGCUGUUUAAAAACUCACAUACAUGUUUACUCACUUGCUCCUCCUUGAUGUGUCUGACUCAUCCAUCCCUGUCUGAACAUACCAGUUCCCAUUUUUACUUUUCUCUCCUUUUGUUAACCUCAUCUUUCCUAUUCUUCAAGCUUCCUUUUGUAUCUGGGUUUAAUUCUGUUAAAUCCAGUUGCUUUGGCUUCUGCUCCGCCUGGGCUUUGCACCUGCUACAGCCCCAGCAAACUUGGCAGCAGCCCUUCGGCUCUGCAGAGAAAACAACUGUCUGGACCAGGAACCUUCUGCCUGAUGCCCUGGACGUACCCCAGGCACUAAUCUGCAUCCAGUACAGCGCGUUGCUGUGCGAGUGGUUCCUCUCUGCUCUCCCUUCUGCCUCUGCAGAAUCACACGUGCUGAUUUCUCAGCAGGUGCUGGCCUAAUGCGUAUUGAUCUCCUGCACAGGUCUGUUGCAAAAGAUGGAUAAAAUCUUUGUGGACUCCUAAUUGCACCUUUAGCCUCCUGGUGAGUAAGGCAAAUGGGAGUGAGGGCUCCCACUCUAUCAAUAGCACCUUCUGCAGACUUGGAAGCAGCGCAGGCUGGAGGACAACGACACAGGGGCUCUACAGGGAUCCCUGCGGAGUUCAGGAAGUUGUGCUGCUUAUUCCUAAAAUGACCAGAAAGAAAAAUCUCGGUAUAAAGAUUCUUAUGGCACAGAAAGGGCAGAGAGGCCUUAGUGCAAAGUCACAUGCCGUUCCCAUUCACAGCUAAAGCCCCGCUGCCCCAGGCAAACACAGAGCCUGUCAGCGUCCUGCAGCUCACCGUGCAGAGAUGUGACCAAAAUAGCUUCACGACUUCACAGAGCCACUAAAAAUAGCUUGCAGGUCAGCUCCUUUCUUAAAGGUAGUGGUGAUAUGGGAGAGCGCUCCUGCUGCCCUUCAGUGCAGGUAGAGCUGGGUAAACAAGGGGAAAAGCUGCUCCCACCAUCCUCAGGGCUUUAAUCUGUUGUGUAUGCGAGUCUGGCUGCGGAGAGGAGCCUCAGCCAGGUUUGGCAGAGCCUGAUUUGCAAUGCUACGGGAAUCAAAUGUAGGUUAGGAGAGGUUUGCCUUGCCUGCAGCCGCCUGUGCCGCCGAGGGAGCUGUGCUGCAGCAGGCGGUGCUGGCAAGGAUUUCCUUUGUGCUGCAGCUUUCAUGUCUUGUGAUUUUAUGGGGCUGGAAGGGAAGGAGGAGGUGACAGAAUGGUGAAAACCUGAGGCCAGGUCAUCGCUGUCAGAUGGGGACAGAGUCCUGCAGCAGUCAGAGGUGACAACACGCUGAUGCUGCUACCAGGAAGCUCGAGAGAAAUGUGACUGAGUGAUACAGUGCGCAUGUGCCUUUGGAGAAAGAGGCUAUCUGUGAGCUCUAGCAGUGCUUUUCUCUGCCCAGCAACAUCCCUGCUUCUUUCCUACAUUCUGCUUAAGCUGCUGUUCUGCAUUUAUGAUCUGAUCCUCACGCUGAGCCAACGUCGCUGUAAUGACGUUGUGGAUGGAGGGCAGAGAUCCACAGGUUCUCUUUGAGGAAGCGCCGUAAACAGGGGAAUAGCACCAGAGUUCAGUUCUCUCAAACUAAAGGGAGAGAAAGUAAGCUGCCAAUAAAAAAAGAACAUUUUGUGGCACAGGCAGAUGUUUCUGAUGGGGUCGGAGCCAGCAGAACCCUUGCAGCAGUGCCCGACGGUGCUGGAGGCCCCUCCAGACUGGAGGUGUGGUGGUCGUCUGCAUGUGAGCAGAGCAGUGUUCAGCAUGGACAAGGUGAGGGAUGUUCACAGAGCCCCUGUCAUCCUCUAGCCAGCCAGAAGCAGCAGAAAAGCACACCGCAGGGCUGCUGUCUGUGGCUGCAAUCUGCAGAACGCGGUGCUGUGCCUUGCAUUCUCCAUCCUUCUAGGUAUUGAACACAUCCCUGUGCCUCUGGGGGUAACGUGGCUUCUGCUGAUGUGUGAAUGCUCUGCUUGGCAGCCUGGUGCAGCACAUCACGGCUCAGAUGGGUUCUCCCAGGCUGUGCAGCACAGAGCUAAUACACGAAAUACAGGUGCAGUUAUUGUACUCAGGGGGAGUGGGAGGCUGUGCUGGCUUUGUUGGCAGUGUUGUUUUGAGCUGUGGCCUCAAUUCGUGCCCUGUGACACGUGGUGGUCUGGCUGCAGUUCUCUAUAGCUGUGUCCCUACCUCUGGUUUAUAGUUUUUUAAAACAAAGCACUGGUAAAAAGGAAGCACAAGAUGGAAGCCAGCGUCCUCGAAGUGAUUAAUUAAAAACAAAUGCUGCUUCCCCAUGAUGAUAAGCUGCUUGCUAUGUAUGGGGCAUGACCUAACAGUUCCUUAACUUCUUAGUUCACCUGUCCUGGGAUGACCUCGCUCCCUCCUCAGUCUCUGUGCAGCCAUCACCUAACAGCUGCGGUCUGCAAGGAGCAGCCUGCUGCUGAUGUCAGCUGUCUCCGUUUUAUGGUAGCUCUUUGCUCUCCCUGCAUUAUAAAAGACAUUUGUGAUAGGGGAGAGAGGCACAAGAGAGUGAAAGCCAUGCGCUGGGGCACGCAGUGGCCAAGGGACAGCUGGAUCUGUUCCCUCUGCCCAUUUGCAGUCUCUGAUAGGGAUAAGAGGUGCAAGAAAUCCCAGUGUGAUGAGCCUGCUAGGGGACAUCGCUUUGGUGCUCGUGGGCUCAUUCUGCACCGACCUCACCAGUCUGCAAGCCCCAAAAAUACAGGAACAAACCAAACGCUGAGGUUUCUAUUCAAGGCCCAGGAGUGGAAUAAGGAACAUGAGCCGUGGGAUAUCCUAUGUCACUGCAGGCUGAUCUCUGCAGGCAGGCGGAGGCUGCCCAGCCUGGAAGGGUCUCGUGGCAAAGGGAGGAAACAUCAGAAACGCCAUGGAUUAUUUUAGAUCUGCAACCUCAGUUCUGCAAAGGACAGCCUACUGAUGUGCCAAGCUCAGCGAGCAGCAGGGAGGAACCCCGCUGCAGGCAGAGAGGUUGCAAGUUUCCCAUAUAGCACAUCCCAAACUGCUGCACAGUGCAGUGCUGUGCUGGUGGUGUCAGCCUGAUGGGAGAACACGGAGUGCUCCAGCAGUGGGCAAUGUGAGAGCAGGCUGUGAGCUGCACAUCCCAGCACAGUGCACGGUGUGCUGGGACUCACAGUGCCCUCAGUGCAUCUCUGUGCUGCAUCCCUGGCUGUGCAGCUCAGCACGGAGGGCCCUGGGCUGUGAGCUCGUGGAUUUUUAUUUCUGUUUUCAUCUGUUUUUGCCUG